rnacentral:rRNA from 1 species
UACAGAGGCCUCGAGCGUUAGGCGGAAUCACUGGGCUUAAAGCGUGUGUAGGCGGAUGCCUAAGUACCUUGUGAAAUCCCACGGCUCACCCGUGGAACGGCUGGGUAUACUGGGUGUCUUGAGCCACUUAGGGGCUGCCGGAACAAAUGGUGGAGCGGUGAAAUGCGUAGAUAUCAUUUGGAACGCCAAUGGUGAAAACAGGCAGCUGGGAGUGUGCUGACGCUGAGACACGAAAGCCAGGGGAGCGAACGGGAUUAGAUACCCCGGUAGUCCUGGCCGUAAACGAUGUCGACUAGAUCGUGGGCCUCUGACGGUUUCACGGUCGAAGCAAAAGUGCUAAGUCGACCGCCUGGGAAGUACGGUCGCAAGGCUAAA